rnacentral:sRNA from 1 species
GGACAUGAGGGCGAUCUGGCUGUGGCAUCUGUCACGCCAUUGAUCACCAGGGUUGAGUCAGCUGAUCUGGCUGGCCAGGCAGGUGUCCCCUUCCUCCCUCACCAUUCCAUAUACAUCCCUCCCAAAGCUGCAUGCUUGGUGAAAAGGAUGACCAUCUAAGUAAGGCACUGCAUGUGGCACUUUGACAUUCUUUAAAAAAGAAGCCCCCCCCCCCCCGAAAAUCUAAAUGUUAAAUGUAUGUUUUU